GUAAGGGCAGGCAUAAGCAACGGCCAACGAACACAACUGCAGUAUAUGGAUACCGUGACCAGAUCCAGAUCCUGAGGCCCAUUGUCGUGACAUUUCAUCUGUCGCCAUCACCACACUUCCAGUUCCCAGCGAUAUCCAGCGAUUUAGCACAGCCAUUGAAGAGGAGUGGGACAUCAUUCCACAGGAUACAAUCAACAGCCUGAUCAACUCUACGUGAAGGAGAUGUGUUUUGCUGCAUGAGGAAAAUGGUGGGUCACACCAGAUACGGACUGGUUUUCUGAUCCACGCCCCUACCUUUUUAAAGUAUCAGUAUUCACAGUCAUGUGAAAUCCGUAGAUUAGAGCUUAAUUCAUUUUUCAAUUAACUGAUUUCCUUAUCAACUAACUCCAGUAAAAUCUUAGCAAUUGUCGGAUGUUUUAUAUUUUUGUUCAGUGUAAAUGUGCAUUUAGUUGUUAAGAUGAGUAAUUGACAUACUAGUCAUUUUAAAGGGAUCAGAUUCAAUACACUAACUUCUUAGUAAAGGACAACAUUAUUCACUACACUGACAUCUCUCCAGUCCACAACUCUUUUAUUUACUCGUUACGUUACAAUAUCAAAAAUACAGCUCUGGAUGCUUUCUCAAACAGGUUGCGCCUCCAGUGAUGCUUUCUCAAACAGGUUGCGCCUCCAGUGAUGCUUUCUCAAACAGGUUGCGCCUCCAGUGAUGCUUUCUCAAACAGGUUGCGCCUCCAGUGAUGCUUUCUCAAACAGGUUGCGCCUCCAGUGGUGCUUUCUCAAACAGGUUGUGCCUCCAGUGAUGCUUUCUCAAACAGGUUGUGCCUCCAGUGAUGCUUUCUCAAACAGGUUGCGCCUCCAGUGAUACUUGUCGUGUGGUUUGGUGAAAUGUUGUGACCAGAUUUCCUGGUCCCUUCCCCUUUUAUGCAAAUAAUUUCGUAUUUAUUGUCAAUGGUGCCACUUGUCAGUGAAUUUAGUGGGUGGAAUAAUUAUGAUUUUUUUUUUUUUAAUACUGAAUCAACAAUCUAUUAAACAUGUAAAGUGUUGGUUUCAUGAGCUAAAAUAGAAGCCAAGACUUUUUAUUUUUCCCCGGCUUCAUCAUCUGAGAGCCACCCGGACAGAUGAUGAAACUGAAGAGCAUUUCUGUCUGUUGUAAAGCCCUUUUGUGGGGGGAAAAAAACAUAUAUUCUAGUGGUUGGGCCUCUGACCUUCUAAGCCCACCCACGGCUGCGCCCCUGCCCAGUCAUGUGAAACCCAUAGAUUUAUUUUUAAUGAAUUUAUUUCAGUUGACUGAUUUUCCUUUUUUUAUAUGAACUGUAACUGAGUAAAAAUCGUUAAUUGUUUCAUGUUGCGUUUUAUAUAUUUUUUUUUUGUUCAGUAAAAAUGGUUUCUCUGUCCAGAUCACAAUGCGUGUGACUACCUCCAGAGGUGGUCGGGAAGAUCAGAUCACAUUCAGUGUCUUUAAUUGUUCAUACCGGUCAACAAACAACAAAUAUAUCAGGAGGAUCUGAUCACAAUCAGAAUGUGGACAAGAUCAGAACAAAGAACGCAAGUUAGAACCAGGAACAAAUACUUUAUGCACACAUGACUGUAAGUCGCUUUGGAUAAAAGCGUCUGCUAAAUGGCAUAUUAUUUUUUUUAUUAUUUAUUUACUUUGAAACCAGUUUAAAAAAAAAUAAAAUAAACAUAACUUUCAAUGAAUUUGGUAUUAAUACAGUCCUUUUAGAAGUCAAAGUUAACGUGAAUACUCAAGUGGUGCGACCACAUUCAUCUCAUUAUUGCUUUUGCUAAGUGCACAGAAAGAGUGAAAUCACAGCAGGAUGUGUACUUCCAUUCAGAAGUUAUUCACUAUCUCUUUUAGGGCUCGUUUUAAUUGAAUGUGGUUGUUUUUCGGGUGUACAGCAAAGUAGGAGUUCCUGAUGUUGUAUCGGCAUCAUAGAACAGGGUUCUGCAGUGUUCUGUCGUUUUCACUCCCUCUGUUCCUCCACCUCAUCUUUGGUAAGGUAUUCAAUGUGAGCCCAAACGCACCAUAUGUGGAGAGCCAGACAGUGAGACAGGAGGGGGAGGGGAUACAGAGUGUGUGUUUACAUCAGUGUAAUUCCAGCAGACAGUUGUGUCUUACUGAUACACCCAGGAGCCUCCCUGCUGCCAGGAUCAGAGCCCCCAGUGUUUGCAGCCAGAGGGGAUGGGAGGGGGGCACAGAGGGGAUGGGACAGGACCCAUACAGCCACAGGGGUAGACCGUGUAAACCACCUGAAAUUCUUGCAGCAUGAGAGCGAAUGUUCCCGAAUCUUUCCAUUUACUUCAGUCUGGAAACCAGGGCCUGUAUUCAAAAGUGUCUAGAAUCAGGUCCAUCUUAUUCCAUUUGUUUCUAAGUUAAAAUAUAUUGUUCAGUGAGACGAACCAAAAACAUGACUGUUAGCUUACAGCAGAGAUCCCUCUCUUAUCAGCAGACCACUUCUGUGAAAGAGACAGCACAGUGGAUUACACUUUUACCUUUUAGUUAUG